UUCCAGACUCCUACGGGAGGCAGCAGUGAGGAAUAUUGGUCAAUGGGCGGAAGCCUGAACCAGCCAAGUCGCGUGAGGGAAGAAGGCCCUGCGGGUCGCAGACCUCUUUGGACGGGGAGCAAGGCCGCCGACGUGUCGGCGGAAGGAGAGUACCCGUAGAAUAAGCAUCGGCUAACUCCGUGCCAGCAGCCGCGGUAAUACGGAGGAUGCGAGCGUUAUCCGGAUUUAUUGGGUGUAAAGGGUGCGUAGGCGGCUUGGCAAGUCAGUAGUGAAAUCCAUGGGCUUAACCCAUGAACUGCUAUUGAAACUGUCGAGCUUGAGUGAAGUAGAGGUAGGCGGAAUUCCCGGUGUAGCGGUGAAAUGCGUAGAGAUCGGGAGGAACACCAGUGGCGAAGGCGGCCUACUGGGCUUUAACUGACGCUGAGGCACGAAAGCGUGGGUAGCAAACAGGAUUAGAUACCCCCGUA
rnacentral:rRNA from 1 species